rnacentral:pre_miRNA from 1 species
AGUGUGACUGCUGAAUCGUAUGGUGAGCAUGUGAUUAAUUUUGUAAGAAACUGCCAAGCUAUCUUCCAAGGUGGCUGUACCAUUUUGCAUUCUCACCAGCAGU